UGGGGAAUAUUGGACAAUGGGCGAAAGCCUGAUCCAGCCAUGCCGCGUGUGUGAAGAAGGUCUUCGGAUUGUAAAGCACUUUAAGUUGGGAGGAAGGGCAUUAACCUAAUACGUUAGUGUUUUGACGUUACCGACAGAAUAAGCACCGGCUAACUCUGUGCCAGCAGCCGCGGUAAUACAGAGGGUGCAAGCGUUAAUCGGAAUUACUGGGCGUAAAGCGCGCGUAGGGGGUUUGUUAAGUUGGAUAUGAAAUCCCCGGGCUCAACCUGGGAACUGCAUUCAAAACUGACUGACUAGAGUAUGGUAGAGGGUGGUGGAAUUUCCUGUGUAGCGGUGAAAUGCGUAGAUAUAGGAAGGAACACCAGUGGCGAAGGCGACCACCUGGACUAAUACUGACACUGAGGUGCGAAAGCGUGGGGAGCAAACA
rnacentral:rRNA from 1 species